AUUGAACGCUGGCGGCAGGCCUAACACAUGCAAGUCGAACGGUAACAGGAAGCAGCUUGCUGCUUUGCUGACGAGUGGCGGACGGGUGAGUAAUGUCUGGGAAACUGCCUGAUGGAGGGGGAUAACUACUGGAAACGGUAGCUAAUACCGCAUAACGUCGCAAGACCAAAGAGGGGGACCUUCGGGCCUCUUGCCAUCGGAUGUGCCCAGAUGGGAUUAGCUAGUAGGUGGGGUAACGGCUCACCUAGGCGACGAUCCCUAGCUGGUCUGAGAGGAUGACCAGCCACACUGGAACUGAGACACGGUCCAGACUCCUACGGGAGGCAGCAGUGGGGAAUAUUGCACAAUGGGCGCAAGCCUGAUGCAGCCAUGCCGCGUGUAUGAAGAAGGCCUUCGGGUUGUAAAGUACUUUCAGCGGGGAGGAAGGGAGUAAAGUUGAUACCUUGGCUCAUUGACGUUACCCGCAGAAGAAGCACCGGCUAACUCCGUG
rnacentral:rRNA from 1 species